UUCAGGGAUACCGGCAGCAGGAGCUUCUGGGAUAGUUCUGGUUGUUGGCAUCACAUUUGCUGCAUUUUCUAUUAGUGGAAAGAGUACUUUAAGUGGGAGUAUGUGGCAGAAGACCGUGAAGCUAACAAGGAUGUGUCCGAACUUGAUCCCAGCCAUGUGACCGAGCUAAGAUGCUAGGCCUCUAUUGAGGCUGUGGCGAAUCCUGAAUGGUUGGUUCAGAGUUUAGUGAGUUCUCUGGAAAAGAAAGUAGAUGAAGGAGAGAAGAAGUAUGAAGAGUCGAACAAGCUAGCUAUGGAGGCAGAGACAGAGAUAAUUAAGCUGAAGACCGAAAUGCAGAGGAAGGGGAGAAUGGUCAUCAAGAACUUUUGAGUGCAGCACCAAGUAAAAGAUUUGGUACUGAAUCAGAUAGCGCAUUGAGGAAAUCUACCAUUGAAAGGCAACGUGGAAAAGCUUAACUCCAUGAAUUUGAUGCUUUAUAUGGCACCGAUUGCUGUUGUAGUUUGGCUGUGUUUGUAAUGGAACCUGAUAUAUUUAACUUAGUUGUCGCACUUGGAAAGGAACAUAAAUUCAUGUGGAUUCUUCUUUUCGUUAAUUCAACAGUGGAUUAUGAAGCGAACUUGUGCAAUUUCCUGGUGACUAAGCAUACAAGUGCUCUAACACUCCAGGUUUGUGGUGGAUUAAAUGAGUCGUACGUUGAGCUGAAGAGACUUGUGAAUUCACAAGAAAAGUUGUACCAUAUGGCUAGCUAGUUGCAUAUUUAAUAUGUUUAGUAUUUUUGUAAGACAUAAUAGUAUAGAUAGAACAGUUGUUGAAUUUUGACUAUAUUCAAAUCUUGUAUGAAUUCUUUUUUAUGAUAAUAAUAUAAAAUUAAA